AACGCACGAGACCUGCGGACCUGCGGAAGGAUCAUUACCGAGUUCUCGCCCCUCGCGGGGUAGACCUCCCACCCACUGUGAUCACUACCGUCGUUGCUUUGGCGGGCCGCUGGGCCCAGCCCACCGCCGGCCCCGGCUGGCGCGUGCCCGCCAGAGGCCCUACAAACGCUGGAUAUCAGUGCCGUCUGAGUACACAUGUUAAUCGUUAAAACUUUUAACAACGGAUCUCUAGAUCGGAAG
rnacentral:misc_RNA from 1 species